UACGAACUUUGAAUAAAUAUUUGGUCAAGACCAACCGACUCAGAGCUGCUAUUUGCAGCGAAAUUUCACGAAUUAUUGGCAUCUUAGCAGCGUUUGUAUCUCCAAAAAUAUGCAUACAAUAUCGGCAUAUUUGUAUAAAAUACACACUGUUUUUAUUGGAAUACAAUUUUUGCCGUGUCUGCAUAUUCUGAAAAAUUUGUGUUUCUAAGCCUAAUAUUGUUCUUGAACAUUACCAAAUUUACAAGCUAUACUGCGUGUAAACUUGGAAAAAUUUAAAAAGAAACAAUCUUUGCUCGUGUAUCUUUUUAAUAUGAAAAUAUUUUCGGAAAAGAAACAUACUAGCACAGUAAAAGCUUAGCUGGUGUUGUGUGUGCCUCAUCUCAAAAAUGUUAUGUGUAAGCCAUGCAUGUCUUGACUCCCAAAGAUACUUAGAUAGAUAAAAAGCCGAAAUGUCGAUGAAACUUCAAUAGUUUUGAGCUUCAAUUAUCUUAUAACAUUUAAUCUUGUUGAUAGAAACUAUAUCAGCUUUUGGUGACGCAAAACUUGAAGAUAUAAUCCGAAAAGCGGGAUUACAGCAACUUGAGCAUAUUUAGGUACCUGCGCUUGGCACUCUAUAGAGUACUAUCAUCAGUUAACGAAAAAUGUGUACAUGGCAUAAUCAAAUUCAUAUACAAAUGGGACGACUUCAUACCGUACCGGCUUUACGUUAACAAGAAAACAUUGACGAAUACGCCGUGAAAUAAAGGCGUAGAAGACCGUACGUAAUGAAAAAGGUAUCGAGUAAACACCUGUAUCCGAUACGACUCAACAAUAAUCGACAAUUAGGCUAGUAAUGCAAAGAAAUCAUCCUCGAAGAGUAGUAUCUUAUCGAAUUCAGUCGUUCACACGCUUCUGUUUUCAUUUCAAACUUGUUUGUUCGAGUCUCCAUUUUAUAUCGUUGUUAUCAGCGUUUCUGUGAAAACGCAAGGCCGAAACGGUAUGCGUGUGGCAUUCACUGAAAACUGCGGUCAUUUAAACUUUUGAAGGCAGAGUCGACCUAGAUUCAUGGUGCUUUGCAAUUUCUAUGCCUUGUCAAGGCGAGCAUCGUUGAUGUUGUCGAAUAUCGCUUCACUCAUUAUCAUUUAGUAUCAGCUGUUUUCGCGAGCCGUUAUGUAAUUGAACACAACCAAGUCAAUUCCAAGUUUCCUAUUUUUAAUUUAAUCUCUUAAUUUGUUUUUUUUCUUUAAAUACAUAUUAUCAAGGAAGGAAUAGUUGGAUAUAAGUGUCGUAAUAUAUUAGUAAUAUAUCGUUGGAUAUAAGUAAUAAAGAACGGCUGAGUUUCUUUAGCUAAAAAUUUAUCAAUGAAAUGAUAUCAUUCUUAGCAAAACAAUAUUUAUGUUCAAUUCACAGGCAUCUUUUUGACUUUACAAUAAGCUUUAAAUAGUUAAUUUGACAAGAGUAGCCUGUAAAUAGAGUUCUAUCUGCCAAGAUAUUUUUAAAGCAGAUAGAGAUGAUUAUAAUGUAAUUAUUGCAGAGGGUCGGUGAAACAUAUACACUUUUCACCGUAAAUACGUAUUUUGAGUGCAAGGAGCAAUGUACUGGCAGAUAGGGAGAACCUUUCAAAAACUGACACGUUUAUCCUUUAAGCACUUUUCAAAUGAGCAGCUUCAGAAUAUAAUUAACUUUAGAAUGUCUUAGUUCAUAAAUUCAUGACAUAGGGUGGUGCAUCUUGGUGUGGCAUUUGGUAUUUUUCGUACUAUUUUAAAUAAAACUGCUUCCAAUUUUCAAAUUUUUAAGGCUUAAAAGUUUUCUCUACAGAAAGCAAAACAGAAGUCUAUUCAUGAGCUUGGCAAGAUCAAUUGAACAGAAUGAGAAUAUGGGAGGUCCUGACUAUUUUAUGAGUGCAUUCAUGCGGUCACUAGUUGCUCCUUUACCAUCUUCUUGGUUUAUUACUACACACAUCUUACUUAAGGUUUAACCCUUCACCCAACCACGAGAAAUCACCCUCCUUAUUAGCACAGCGUCAAAGAGGGUAAUAUACAACAGCUGGAACUCGUGGUUUAUGGUGACUCGAUGAGCAGCCUCUAGCAAGGAAUAAACCUUGGAAAAAAUCUGACCAUAUGUUGUUGGAAGUCAGCGUUUUUGGAAGAUGGAACCAGGUAGCUACAGAGUGAGUAUGAUGCUCUUCAAAAACCUUAGGGAAAUCUUUCAUGGUAUUGCCACAACUAUAUAGCAUUUCCAGCCUCUUAGGACAAUGCUUUAAACUCAAGAGAGCAAAUAUGCACGUUUAAAAUAUUACGGUGAAAGAUUAUCAGUACACGAUGUAUAAGAAGCUGAAAAGCCAGUCAAAAUAAAAAUGGAGAGACUGGUCUUGCUAUAGUAAAAAAGCUCAAUUGUUUGAUUACACGUUCUCUAAACAAAAUCCGUACGAGCUGCCCCCUCUCUUUCUCCAGGUAGCUUCUCCAGGUAGCUUCUCCACAUAGGACAUCUGUGUACUUUUAUAACGCAAUCUGGGAAAAGAAGUUGGCAAAAAAAACGACACUCCGGUAAGACUUUCCCGGUCACA